UGAAAAAUAAUGGAAAUAUUAUUUUCAUUAUUUUUUUAAAAAGUGAUUUUCUGUUUAUAUACGAGGAAACUUUUUAUUAUCAUCAUUAUUUAAUUACGAUAGGGGAAAAAAUUGAAUAAAAUUUUAUUAUAAUAAAGGUUAUGAAUGUUUAAUUAGCAUUAAUAAAAUAUUAAGUAAUUUUAAAACUUUAAAAUUGCAUUAAAAUUUUAAGAGAUUAAAAUAAAUUUUUCGUCUGCGACACGCUAGUGCCAAAGUUCUUCGCCGUCGUCGAUCGAAUUAAGUGACGUAAUAUCGUAUACAGUAUACUGUACAAAUGAAAACAAAAUUCUUUCAUAAAAAAGAUUUGCGAAUUUUAUCGGAAAAUUUAAAUAGAAAGAAAAAUUGAAAUCGUCAGCAAUACUACUUCAAUUUUAACCAUAACCUUGUGUAUUUAGAUCGUUUCUAAAUUCUCUUUCCGUUUCUCCGAAUUGAGGAGGUGCUUGCCAAAAACGCACCGGGCGAGCUCUACGCAAUCUUAUUACGUAAUGGGACGUCACGGCAAGCUGUUACUAUGGAGACGCCGAUCCUGUUGAUUGUCUGUUUUUGUUUUGUAGAAAAAUCGAAUUCGACAGGCAUGAAUUCUUUCAAAUAUGCUUUUCCCCAGACUAAUGGUUUGUUUAUUAUUAUUGAUAGGAAUAUCUUUACAUGCCGAACAGAGUAUGUGACCAGUUUAAUGGAUGUAAGACAAGCAUUAUCAUCUCUUUUGAAAUUCUAAUUUUUUUGUUGCUAUCAGUUCAAUAUUUUGUAUAUAUUCCCAUUUAUGUUUGUUG
rnacentral:lncRNA from 1 species